rfam:Lactobacillus amylolyticus DSM 11664 contig00088, whole genome shotgun sequence.
GGAGUAGUACUCAAGUGGCUGAAGAGGCGCCCCUGCUAAGGGCGUAGGUCGGGUUUCCCGGCGCGAGGGUUCGAAUCUCUCCUACUCCG